UACGGAGGAUCCGAGCGUUAUCCGGAUUUAUUGGGUUUAAAGGGUGCGCAGGCGGGAAAUUAAGUCGGCGGUGAAAUUUUGCAGCUCAACUGUAAAAGUGCCUUUGAAACUGGUUUCCUUGAGUGUAGAUGAAGUAGGCGGAAUUUGUGGUGUAGCGGUGAAAUGCGUAGAUAUCAGGAGGAACACCGGCGGCGAAGGCGGCUUGCUGGACGGCAACUGACGCUUAAGCGCGAAAGCUAGGGUAGCGAACGGGAUUAGAUACCCCCGUAGUCCCUGAGCGGGCU
rnacentral:rRNA from 1 species